UUUUUUUUGGGGUGUGGGCUUUUUUUCGAGGUAGCUAGGGUAGAUAGCAACGGUGGCGGCGACGGUAGGCUCUCCCUCUGCGGCGGGGGCGGCGACUUGAGGCCCUUUGCGGCGGCGGUUCAGAGAUCCCGUCCCGCCAAAGUUAGGGACGGCGGCUUGAGGCCCUCUGUGGCGGCGACGCCGUGUCCCAUCUAAAGCGCAGAGGUGCACCAGCGUGCGUGCGGACGUGGAGGUGAGGGGGGAGCUAGGGCUAGCCUAGAAAGAGAGGUGUUUUUAGCGGUGGCGGCCGGAGGAAGCGAGCUGAGCCGGUACCACUUCGACGUGGAGGGGGUUAAGGAGGGCAGCAGUAGCAGUAGGAGGCACGCUGGGACGGUCUAAGGUGCUAAACCCCCAAGGGAUACUCCUCAGCCGCACAGCAGGAGUAGUGUCCGCCCGCCCACAACCGUACACGCACAUGCCUCCUCGAGGUGGAGUGGGUGAAGUCGAAGGAGGACAGCAGUAGUAGCAGGAGGCGCGCUGGUGCGGUCGAAGGUACCAAACCCCCUCGGAAGGGAUACUCCUAGGUCGCACAGUAGGAGCAGCGUGGGAUUAAUCCAAGGACCACACAGGUGUGGGGCGUGGGAUUAAACUAAAGCUGACCUCAGAUCCUGCAGUCGCGGUGGUCCAGCAAUCGUGACGGCAGGUCCACUAUUAUUUGCGGCAAGUGGUGUUGUUCUCCCUCUUUUGACGCAUCGUUCUAGUUAUUACUUACCAAGUUCAGUACACAAUGUUCAAUGUUACUCGUCCACCAUGAGUUCAGGUAACUACUAUUCCUAUAAUAAGCUUGUAAAUGACGUUACUCCAGAGCCUUUCCCGUAAACGGAGCACUAACAGAAAUCACGCGACAGCCAUAAGCCGUACGGUCGCGGAAGCAGCUGGAGGUGAGCGGUUAGACAUUGCGGAUACUGGCACCACCGCCCAGUGUGAGACUACGUCGGCACGUGCGGCGGCGAUGGUCUGCUGUGGGGGUAGCUCAUUAUGUGGGGUCAGCUCUAAAAGAUAUAGUAGAGACGGUUCCGCGUUAGUAGCCUUCUCUAAGUCCAUUCUAAUAGGAACAAAAGAUGUAGUUUAAAACGUACAAGUAGAUAGAUUAGAAACUAUGAUGUAAAGAAUCGAUUACAGGAGGAACGUACAUGGUACAAGUAUACUAAUUGUUUCUGAACCGGUAGAAUUAUAUCAUCGGGCACUCCACCUAUAUAUCUGAUGAGGGAGGUAAGGAUUUAUAUUCAGAAAAAUGUCUAAGGUUAUACCUGAUGACUUACUUAGAUGUGAGAUUUCUUACAGAUAUACGUAGGCAUACAUCAGGUAUAACUUUAAAAAUUUACCUGAAUAUAAAUCUUUGUCUCCCUCAUGAAGUCAAACGUACUCUCUUAUUAGUGAAUAUACACACGGAACUAUAAUAUCAUCCUAACGAACCUAAUAAAGACAUCAUGAAACAGGUUUUUACAACAAGAUUAGGGAUCGAGUGAACUUGGACCCACUUGUCAUUUUAUUAAUUUUUUAGACUAAAAAAAUCACACUUUGUAACUGUUUACAAAAGUAUCGCUUAUCUUUAAAAAGUGGUCUACUGUAAGCACCUUUUAUACAGGUUUUUUAUCAACGUUUAAAUAGUGGUCUAUUGUAACACCUUUUAUCAACACAGGUAUGUCACGCAAGAAGCAGCUUAAACACAAACUAAAAAAGUGAUAUAUAAUGAAGAACGAACGCGCUCCUACCACAUCUAAACAAUAAAAAACGGGGCUUUUCUUCCAUCGGCCUAAUCAUCAGAUUAACUCAUCUACGACCACUCACUCCCAAUGAACUAAAAAUAACUCAUGUAAUACGAGACGAAACACCGCUCCAAACUUUAAACUACCAAGACUACACAUUAUCUCCCCCGUUUUCACAAUAGGUAAAGUAACAAAGACACGUACAAAUGCAACUGGUAGCCACCGCCCUCCGCCGUAACGACCGCCGGCUUCCCCACGAACACCUUCGUCCACCUUAUCAGCCGUCGACACCCCUAAGCAAUAAGAGGCUCCAACCGCCCGAGCUGCACUCCGAGCUACCCCGACGCCCUAACAGUUCGUCUGCCCACUAACGAGUUGCUACUGACCUCUGCUAGAAGCCAUAAUGUUGACCAAAUAUGGUUACCCAAUAAACGUAGAGUUCAAUUUAAUCAGUGACAACUAGUUGUUACUCUACACUGGUAACAAACUACCUAGUAACUACCAUGCCUACACGUUACUUUGUUACUAUAUGGGUGACAUAACCUGGGUUUGUGGAAGGACUUUUAACAAGACUUCCCCAAUCGUGUUCCUUUGAUAACAAUACUGAACGCUCCAGACGACCUCCACUGGCCUAGGCCUACUGAACUCGUUUCGACACUUUUAAGUACCGUUCCCUACCCCCAUGUUCCGUACCCAGACGCCGCGGUGUGGAACAACAAGGGACGGCCACCGGUCGCUCGACACCGCCACGAAGAGACAACGUACCGCUCCCUGACCCCACGUUCCGUACGUAGACGUCACGGCGAGGACCCCGUACGGAGAGGGCGCUGUAACGGUCGUAUGUGUUGUAUGGAACGAUGUGCCCCUAAAGGAGAGACUUGAUUUAUAAUACAGUAUUGACUUAUAAUGCAGACUUCUGACUUUGUUGAUCUUUCGAAUAACUCUGAUAAGUAACUACCACAAAGAGAUGAUGUGCUCCUUCAAAGUACACGGUUAAUCCGUACCUGCUGCUGCCGGUACUAGGGUAGUAGCGUUCGAGUACCCUCCCUCUGUGUGCAGAGUAGGUCACAUUAUCGUGCGAGGUUUUUUAGGGAUUGGGAGGUACCUCGGUAACGGUCCCACUACUCUAGUUGUGGUGGGUGGUCGUGGUGGUGGCUCGACAUCUGCCGCACAGUACCACGAGGGAUCGAGAAGGGCGGAGAAUUCUCUGGUGUACCACAAGACCGUCAAGACCACGUCAAAAACCGGUUCCGAUCUUCGGUUCUUGUGAAUUAAAACUAGUACCUGCACUGUAACACCAGCCGCAACACACCACGUCAAGUCUCAAAAGAACGGACCGCAUAUUGUUACGUACAAGUUACCCCAUCGGAGAAGAGUCCGUACUCAUAGGCUACGUCUGGUGCUGUAGAUAAAUCUUAUCGAUGUUGUUUUAACACUGUCUCUACCAAUCACCCUCUUCCUUGAACUCUGGUGUCAGUUAAGACGACAUCCCCGACACACAUCUUCUAUCAUCAUCGUUUGUAUCUUCAGUGAAACCUUUUUUUCACACGUAUAUAACAACAUGAUCUCUAGGUAAGGAUAUAAAGUGACUAUACGUACCAACUUAACAUCAUACACACUAUUCACUCUUAUUACAUUAUACUUCGCUUUGCACCACCUGUCCCGAAGUGUAACAACAAAAAGUCAUCUUAUACUACAAGCAGAGAAAAAGUAUACCUGAUGUUAUACCAGUUACCAUCGAACGACUUAUCCAAUUCGAUCUGGGUUCUGUAUUAAAGUGCCGCUCUUAACUGUACAAAUUAAAAAAUACCUUUCUUAUAAACGACGAUUAUUAAUUACUAUGUUCAAGACUACACGUUGUAAUAGAAGGUACAUAUAUCUAACUUGUUUUAUAUUCGACUUCACCUUACAGUUCGGAAUUAAAUAUGAUUUCUUACUAUAUCCAAAAGAGAUACACAUCUUAUCCUAAUAAAAAGGAACCUCUUAGAUGAUCGACCUCACCAGUUACAGCUAUAGGAACACGUUCAAGCGUACUAGAAUCGUACUUGGUUGAGUGUUACAAUAGAGCUCGUCACGAAAUAAGUGAAUUCAUAGUAAAAAUCCUUUUAUGAUCCAUUUUUCGGAUAACGUUUUUUUAAUCUGCGCUUCAAAUAUUCCCAAUGUACAUACGUCAGAUGUGCCCGGAUAGAUUACAAUCUCAAAGUACGGAGAUUAAUAAACAUAAAUACAUAAGAUCGAUACCUAUGGUCAUCGGAAUCAAGAAAAUUUCAUGACGUAGAUAUUUGAAAUGAUAAAUCUACAACAUAUACUUUUAUAGUUCAUUAAUAUUUACGGUAAAUACUAGUGUCUGUUAGAACAACAUACUAACAAGAGUACCGGAAGUUUCCUCUCUAUAGGAUCUUCAACUCACGUCAACCUCCCCGGAGUCAGGAAAACUCGGUUCUUUUCAACUACCCCGGACAGGUUCGAUACUUAUCAUAUACCCUUUCACAACUUUAUAAAACACAAAGGUACCAAAGAUUUACCAUCCUCCAUACACAUCAUUGGACAUGCCAAAGUUCACGGA
rnacentral:rRNA from 1 species